AAUCAAUAUUUCUUGUUUUAAUUUUAUUUAUUUAUUUAUUUAUUAUUAUUAUUAUAGUGAAGGUGUGAUAUUAAUUGAUGAUCGAAUGAAUACGUAAAAAGAGGGUAAAGUGCUUUAAAAUGGGGCCUUGAAAUUUUUGUUUUUUCAUCGGGCUUGUUUUGAUUUGGAUAUUUCAUUCAUCCGAAUAUCUUAAUCUUUUGAGAAAAUUAGAGCAGACUUUGGCUCAAUUAGAGCUUUGGUAUUUGAAGUAAAAAUCUGCAAGUUUAGGUUCCUGAAUUUCUUAUAAUGUGGAGCAAUGGUUUUUUUUUUCUAACUCUAUUAGAACUUUUAUCCAAAAUAAAGGGUUUAAAGACGCAAAAAAUGUGUGGAGGUUCUAACGGAUUUAGCCAAUAUGACUGUUGCUCCACAUUAUUACAAAUUCAGAUUUUAACACCAACGAAUUUUUAGUUUAUGAAUCAAAGUUCUAGUUAAGUUAAAAUUAAGAGAUUAUUACUCUAAUUAUCUCUAAUAUUUUUAAAGGAAUAAAACUUCGUCAUUAAGCAAAUAUGCCUUUCCUUGGUUUAUCAACCCUACUAUCAUAUAGUUCGACAGAGAAAAUGAUUUGGGUCUAAUUGAAAAUGACCUGCACUAAUUUAUAUAUCGCCAUCCACCAAUACUUACGUGGUAUAUCUAUGCUUUAACAAAGCAGGAUUGGUGACUCGUAUUGCAUUCUGAUCCUUUUAAUGUUUUUUAUUGGACAGGUAGUUAAAGGGUGUGUGUGAAGGGCAGCUAUGUCUUUUUGUUUAUGUAUCAAGGGUUUGUUUUCAACCGUUUAAUGGAUUGGUCUUAAUCUGGUGUAGCCAAAUGGAUGGUUGAUCUCAUUCAUGUAGCGUGUAUUUAGUGCAAACGUUCAUUGUUUUUUCCUUUUAUUUUGAUUUGAAUAAAAGACUCAGAUUUGACUAUUCCCAGCACUUACUCAACGCAUUUGUUCUAAGUAAAUUAAAAAAUAUAUAUAUUUGUCAAAAAAAAAAUAUUUAUAUAAAAAAUUAAAUAAAAAAUAUUUUUACCAAAAAAAUUAUAAAAAAAAACUUUGCGUGAUGCAGUUUCUGUUGUCGCGCAGAGUCCUUUUGAGGACUCAGGUGUUGUCAUCAUCGCGCAAAGGCCUUGUGUGCAACGUAUGUUAUCCCUUUGUCGCGCAAACCUUGUUUUCACGGAUUUUGCGCGACAGUUUGCAUGUAAUGAAGAUGUCGACUAAUUUUUAAGCAACGUUUUUUGACUUUGCGCGACGAAGGUACCUGUGUCGCAUAAACUAUUUUUUGUACUGGUAACGUCAUCCCUCACAUCUUCCGCCUAAUCCUUGCCAUCCCAUCCCUCGAGCGACGGUGUUGACUACGUUUUGUGAGUGGGUGGUCUUGAGGUUUUCUCGGUGGAGGACGACAGUCUCGUCGUGGGACUAGCAGAGAGGAAGGAGGCGGUGAGAUGAAGGUGGGGUUGGGUUCGGAUGGGUUUACUGGGAUUGGGUUAGCCUGGGUUGUCGGGUUUGUGGUGGAGGAGGAGGCUACAAGAGAGAGGGAGGGUUGAAGAGAGGAAGGCUACGGGAGAGAAAGGGUAGAUAGUGAAAUUAAUGAAAAAAAAAGAGGUAUUGUUGUCCAAAAAGUUAUAAUUUUGUGUUCCAUGAGCUAGAACAAGUCGUUGGGAGGGUGGCACAAAAAUUUGACUAAAAGCCUUUCCAUGGGACCGUGCAUCCCAGACAAAUUGGCGCACGGUGGGACGAGUGUAUCUCAUCCUACUGCGUUCCGUCUCAUCUCACGUACUAAACGGCACUUUAAUGCUCUAAAUUAAUGUAUUGAAACGCAUCGGUAACUAUAAACUCGUUUUUGUGUGAGUCUCUAGUUUGGAUCAUAACGGGCGAUGACAUGAGUUUGAGAGUUGCAAAAUAUCAAACAAUAGUUACAAUACCAUAGCAGAGCUUGUCAUGGGUUUCUCAUUUUAUCCUUUCAUAAAAUACUAUACUUUUCCAAACUAUAAACGCAUCCGUAAUUCGAAUGUGAAAAUUCAAAGAAUUCCUUAAUUAAAAAAAUUAAGAAACUUUGCAAUGACAUAAUUAUUCGGAUCAAUCUUGCUGUUGCAAAGGCAUUUUAGAACUAAAUUUCAAUUCUUUCAACGGUAUAAAUAAGUAGAGAUUGACAACUUGGAUAAUAAGAGAAGAGAAUUGCAUAAUUAUGAAUAGAAAUGCUUAGGAGACUCUCUUAAAGAUGAAAUUUUUCAUAGACUUUGUGACAGCUUAUGUUUUUUUAAUACAAUAUUUUUAAUGUUAACAUGAAAAUUAACAUUAAACUAUGAGAUGAUAUAAAAUUCAAAAAAAAAUCCCACUUUCAAUAGUUUUCCAUUGCAUUUCUCUAAAAGUCAGAACUAUCUAUCUUUAGAUUGAAGGAACCUCUCAAAAAGAUAUUUUACCAUGCAUCGUGGAGGGUCCUUAUCAAGAACAAAGUUAAAAAACAUGUCGGCACGCUCAAAUUACGCAAGGCACAAGAAGCACAUUGGAAACUAACACGUGUCACGAUUAGUGGCGAAGCUACGUGGGCGAGGAGUGGCGGCCGCCCCUCCCUCGCUGGAAAUCAAGCCUAGGAACGGUGGUUUCGUCCCUCCGGUCUUGUCGAAAGUGAUGAAAUUUCAUGUGAUUUUUCAGGCCUUUUGGGUUUCCCUGCUCUAUGGCAGCACAUGAUGAUCGUGAGCUCUCUUUUUUUUUCCAAAAAAGAAAAUACAUUUAGGCCAAAGAAAGGAGGAAUGAAAAGCUGUAGUUUGCAGCUUCUAGAAAUAGAGAGGUUCUGGACGAAAAAGAAGAGAAAGGAAGAAGAGAGAGACUUUCUCUCUCCCAUCCCACCCCACGUGCCCUUUCAUAAUUACAAUUUGUUUUUUUUUUAACUAUUGACCAAAUUUGUUUUGUUUUUUAAUUAUUAUCCAAUUAAUUUUAAGAAAAAACUAAUGAAAAGAGCUUGAAAACUUUGAGUUUUAAUGAUAAAGACAAAAUAAAGGGUAAAGUGAAUAGUACCAGAAUUGACUUUUUAGUGUAAAAAUAUGGUUUUUCGUUAAAGUAAACAGUACCGGGUGUUUUUUGUUAAAGUUCCCUUAAUUUUAUCACUCUUCCAAUAUUUUUUAAAUCACUUCUUUGACAUUGUUAUUUAUCUUAAAAUUCACUAUAAAUUUAUACCAGCUUCAAAAAAUAAUUUGUAAAAUACUACGAACUCGUAGUUAUUUGUUUUUUUUUUCUCUUACCAUCAAAUUCAACAAAGUAAUAAAGAAAAUUUGUCAAGAUUUUUAUAUUAUAUGUUUUAUAAUCAAUGUUUUUCGAAUAUUAUAUGGUAUAUAAUAAAUAGACAAUUAUUUAUACUGUAUAUAAUAACUUUAUUCAAAUUUGUCUAGGUCCUUGCCUAAGUGUAAAGUCAUGUCCACCGUACGACUAGAAUUGAGCAUCUUUUAAAACUUUGUUAAUUAUAUAGUUAAGUAAUAGGACGAUACAACAAGAAACAGUGCUAAAUCAUCCUUCAAAUAAUAUUGUUUUUCAAACCCUCCUUCGACUAUUUUGAGUAGUCCAAGUCCUCUUUUGAAUAUUUCGGUUAGUGCAAAUUCUCCUAUGAAUAUUACGGGUAAUUCAAAUAAUCUUCUUGGAAAUCCUGGACUUAGACCUUGAAUGAAUGUUCACAUUUUUUCAGGACUCUAAACUUUUUAAAUUUCGUCCCUUCUCAUAAGAAUUUCUAGCUUCGCCAGUGGUCACAAUCACCAAUUUAUGGGGCCACGGGUCAGCUGUCUCCAAAUGUAUGUCUCAUUUGUGUUUCCUCUCUAUCUUUUUGACAUGUGUACAACUCCUUAACUUAAAAUUAACAUUGUUAACUUUUAUCAAAUUAAAAAAAAAACAAUAAAAAGAGAUAACAAAGGACCUAGCAGAUGUCGAAGUCCACGCAAGAUAACUCCCGCGCAGCCGUCACCGGCGGUAACCCCACUCGGGCCACUCCUACUCAUUGCCGCCAAAGCCUCCCCUCGAAUCCUCCCUCUCUCUCUCUCUCUCUUGCUCCAGGAUUCAGAUAUCCAUCUUCCCCAUUCAAUAUCCACAACCAAAUCAAACUUCUGUACGCAUAUUUUUCUAGGUCGAAUCUAUUGAUAAUUUGUCAUAAGAAUAAUAUCUCAGAUUGGGGAAGAAUCUGGGUUUUGUUGAAAAUCCCAAUAGAAUAUCUUCUGUGAAAAUUUUAAAAAAUCUUGAAAAUAAUUAAAGAAAUUGGGGAUGGUAGGCUAUAAUGGUUAUAUAUGAAAGUGAACCCACCGAGUGGGGAAAGGAAACUCCAAAAAUAAAAAUAAUAAUCAGUGGAGUGGGUUCACCGGAGAGAGAAAGAGUAAAAGAGUCUUCGCCGGCAGUGAGGGGAAGCGUCGCCGACGACUAUGGGGUGGUGUGGUUCUGUGUGUGACCAUCGGGCUAAGUUUGGCUGCUGUUGGCUUUUGGUUUUCUUUAAUUAUCAGUUUUUAUUUUUUAUUUUUAAUUCUUCUUUUAAAAGGUUAACACUGUUAAGUUUAGGGUUAAGUUGAUGACAGAUGUCAAAAAUUAAAAAAUGAGACACAUAAAUAUGGAGACAGCACAACUGUGGCCCAUUUAUGGAAAGGCAUAAUCCGUUUUCUAAUAAAAUUGUUUACGUGUACCCAGUGGUUAGCCUCCACGUGGCUCCUUCAGCAGCAGAAGUUGCAGCUCUAUAUAACCACCCUCUACUCCUUGCAGUUUCUGUCAAAGCAGUCCGAUACUUCUUGUUGUUUAACCACUCUCUACCCUUUGUUGUUUUCUUUCUCUGAUCAAACUUGAUAAGUAUGGGUACAGCAACCUGCAUCGACAUCAUCAUCGCCAUCCUCUUGCCACCUCUUGGUGUCUUCCUCAGGUUUGGCUGUCAUGUAAGUUUUUCUCUUUCGCGUCCGUUAUUUUAUAUAUGUUGUCUGUCAUACAAACACGUAUUACAUACUAAAAUUGCUUGACUGUGGAAAGUCCAUCAUACGAACACGUCUCACAUACUAACACUGCUUGAAUAAUCAUAGUAGUGGAAUUCAUAGAUGUAAAGUUCAUCGUUUCCCUAAUUUGUGUAUGGUCUGUGUUUUUGUGUCUUGAAACAGAAUUUUCGUGCAGUUGUUUUUAUGAGGAAUUUUGAUGUUUAUAUGUGGUGGUUUUGAUGAUUUGCAGUCGGAAUUUUGGAUCUGUUUGGUGCUGACUCUGUUCGGUUACCUCCCUGGUAUUAUAUAUGCCAUCUAUGCCAUCACCAAGUGAUCCUUUCAAUUUGUGUAAGCACCAACUUCUCUAAAUCAAUAUUCAUUGAUCAUCGAAGGAAUAAAAUUAGAAGAUUAUUGCUCUAUAAUUAUCUCUAAUAUUUUUAUGAAGGAAUAAAACUUCCUCAUUAAGCAAAUAUACCUUUCUUUGGUUUAUCAACCCGGACUGGGAUCACCUCCGGAUCCCAACCUUCAGAGCAAAUUGAGCAAAACAUCCCAUCCUCCAAUUUUUUAUCUUGUGGUCAGAAAUAAAUUUAAAUAUUGAAAAAUUAUCACGCAAAACAAGGUAAGAUGAAAAUAGAAGGAUGAUUUGUUUUGCUCAUGUCGCUCCGAAGGCUGGGAUCCGGAGAUGAUCCCAAUCCUCCUAUCAACCCUACUAUGAUUUGGGUCUACUUGAAAAUGACCUGCACUAAUUUAUAUGUUGUCAUCCACCAAUAAUUAUGUGGUAUAUGCUUUAACAAAGAAGGAUUAGCGACUCGUACUACAUUCUGAUCCUUUUAAUGUUUUUUAUUGGACAGGUAGGUAAAGGAUGUGUGUGGAGGGCGUCUACGUCUUUUUGUUUAUGUAUCAAGGGUUUGUUUUCAACCGUUUGAUGGAUUGGUCUUAUCUGGUGUAGCCAAAUGGAUGGUUGAUCUCAUUCAUGUAGCGUGUAUUUGGUGCAAUUGUUCCUUGUUUUUUACUCUCAUUUUGAUUUGAAUAAAAUGACUCAGAUUUGUCCCAGCACUUACUCAACGCUUUUGUUCAAAGUAAAUUGCAAGCAUCAUCGACCACCUCGAGGUGGGUUAGUGAUUGAAGACAAAUUUUAGAUCCGUAUUCUACAUGACAUGUUAUAAGUGUUUUGGCGCGUGUAAAUUAUACAUGGUGGUUAAGAAAGAAAUUGAAAUACAUAUGUAAUUCUUCUCGGCCUCCAAAAUAGUAGAUUGUGGGUGCGAAGACAUUGACUGGUCCCUUUCCUUAAGCAUGAAAUUUUUUGCAAGCAUCAUCAAAUUUUUUUGGCAAACAGCAUCAUCAAAUUUGUUGUAAAUCAUAAGCAUUACAAAGCCAAUGCUUGUUGUAAACUUAAGACAUCAAAAGGUUCCCUUCAAUAGGACUGAUCACAUUCUUCCUACCGAGUACGAAACACCACAAUUUGGCUUCAGCUUUUAAUCAAGGAAAAUUAUUUUGUUUUUCCCUUUUCUCGAUUUUUUAGAAUUGAAUAAAUCAAAGAAAUAUCAAAUAAUAAAAACAAAGAGAAGAGCUUUGAAAGAGGGAUGAAGAGUGUAAACAUCUCAACCCUUAAUCGACCACCAUUUUCGAAAUCUUAUUGAGAUAUUUUGCAUCUUGAUUUUGAUACUUAAUACCUCAUUCUAAUUGUAAACACACAAUAUCAAAUUGUCAAUUCCCAAAUUUCAUAAGAAUAUUGUCCAACUAGCUAGUCACAAAGAGUGAAGAAUAAUAUUGUCCAACUAAUCACAAAAAAUGAAGAAUAAUAUUGUUCAAUUAAGGAAUAAACAAUCUAAUAAGAUCUUCUUAAUGUCCCAAAGGGCAACCCUACUCUUUUCUUUGUGAUGCUUUCCUUUAAUUAAAAAACAAUUGGAUAACUAAUCGAAUGUGACAAUAGUAUUUUCUCUUAUUUUAUGGAAAAAGAGAAUAAUAAUGUUCUAACUUCAUACUUAAGCAAACAAGAUAUCACACCGUCUUAAUCAACUAGUCUAAUCAACAUCUGUUUUAUUUUUGUUUUCAAACUGAGGCAGGUUUCUACUUCAAGCCCAUUACUCCAUUAAUAAGCUCCCACGUGUCCCAUGUGAGAAGAAGAAGGUCUAAUCUUCUCCACGAAGAUUAUAGAUGGGACUUUAGGUUAUAAAAUGCAGAUGACGGUUUCAUCACGUGCAUAGUGUAGGCGAUUCAGAUAAGACCCCAUUGGUCGCUACAUACUUGAAGCCUCCAUCACCGCCGUAGUUCCGGAGUGCCGCGGCUACCUACGAGCCGUUAGAUUUUCCUGACAGCCUGGAGGCUGGUCGUUACUCGAGUUCAUCCCAAUGCUCGUGGGUGGCAAACAUUGCAACAUUUAAUGUGUUGUAAUGAUAAAAGAAACGAAAGAAAGGAUCUUUUAAGUAAGGAAAAGAAAAAAAUGGAGUAGAGAUGCAUGAUCACGUUAUUUUGUUAUAGAACGUCUCUUAUAAAAGCACGAGAAAAUAAUUAGUGUCAUGUAAAAAAUUAAACUCAAGUUAUUGGAUGCUCGUGCAACAGAUUAAAUUAGACUAGAAACAAAUUAGAAUUAUGCAACAAUUCCUAAUUAGUCAUCCCCUACCGAAUAGUUUAAAUUUAGGUACCAAUGAAAAAAUCAACCAAAUAAUUAUAUAAAUACUACUAUAAAUCAGAAUAAUUACAUGAUUGGCACUCAAUCUUACCACGUUUUUCGACCGGCCAACUUUUUUUUACGACCGGUUGAUCAAAUUUUCCAGCGUCUGGCCGAUCAAAAAUUUCAGUCUCAAUGUCAUUGUCCAACCGUGAACUUCACAAAAACAUGUUAAGUAAUGAAUUUUCUCAUAAACUUUCUAAUUAUUGUAUGUAUAUAUGAAGAAAAAUAAUAAACUCACACAACAAAAUAUAACUGAAGAUGAAAAAGUUGCACAAAUUGUUUUUUUUAAGUCAUUGUUGAACAGUGACUUGGAAGUUUUUUACGACCAGAAAAAAAAUGUCGGCCACAAUGACUCUGGCCAUCGACAAUUUCUGGUAGUAACAUCGGCAACAUGUGGGUCAUGUGCAAUGAAUAAAAAUAUAUAAAUGUUCAUAUGCUUAUAAGUGUAUUUGCUUGUAACAUGUCAACGAAUACAUCAAUUUUUUUUUGUUGAACAAAUACGUCAUUUAAUGAACAAAAUUUGACGAAUCCAAGCCUAUGGAAACUUGAAACACAAUAAGUUCGACCGAAAAAAAAAAGCACACUAUAUGGGUUAUAAAACUUUGUAUGCAUGGGACUGAUGUGAGAACCGCACGAGCCACGUUUUCAUGAAUCUGAAUUUCUACAUCAAAACUUAGCUGUAUGAUUCUUGCUUCUUUAUUCGGAUAUGGAUUCUGCAGCAUGCCAUAUACCACGCUGUAUGAUUCCGAUAGAACACCCAAGGGCCCCAACCCAAAAGUAAGAUCUACUCGUCCUCCGCAUAAAGAGACUUUCAGUAGCUGAAACACGAUCCGAUGAAUCAAGUAUUAUAAUAUAAGUAAUUAAAUACUUGUAAAAAUUUUAAUCAUGUAUAUUAUAAUAUUUAAUGUACUAUACUAUGUUCCCAACACAUUGAAAAAUCCUCUACGGACUUCACGGAGUUAAGGAACCGCGUAGUACAUUGUAUUGCUCUGUCUCCACCGAAUGCAUACCCUCUCCACGUGUCCCAUCAGCCCGCGGAGGAGCUGUAUAUAUAAACCACUCACCGUUUCUGUGACACCACCGCUCACAUAUCCACCAGUUGCCCUACUUCCUCUUCUUCUAAAACUCUCUCAGCUUUCCGGCAAAAAAAUUCUCAGCAAGUAUGCCGAGCGAAGGAACCCUAAACUUCGUCGACAUCCUCAUCGCCAUCCUCUUGCCUCCUCUUGGUGUCUUCCUCAAGUUUGGCUGCCAUGUUAGUACUCUUUCUUCCGAGUCGUUUAGUUUAUAGAGAUUAUACGUCACACGAACGCACAUGGUACCACUGUUUGAAUCGUUAGACCAGUAGAAAUUUACGGAUGUGAUGGUCCAGACAGUGUUCGUAUAGCGUAUUUUCUCUAAUUAAUCUGUAAAUAUAAUAUAAUUAUGAUGUAUGUGUUUUCAUGGGUAUAAUAUAUGGUGGAUUUGAUGUAUUUUCAGGUGGAAUUCUGGAUCUGUUUGUUGCUGACCAUUUUUGGUUACAUCCCUGGGAUUAUCUACGCCAUCUAUGCCAUCACCAAGUAAUACCUCAAAUAAUUUCGGUAAGCACCCGUAUUUUUUUUAGAGAAUUUUAACGAAAAAUCAUAUUUUUACAUUAAAAAGUUAAUCAUGUUACUAUUUAUUUUACUCUUUAUUUUGUCUUUAUUGUUAAAAUUCAAAGUUUUCAAAUCAUUUUCAUUAUUAUUUUUUUUUAAGUUUGACGGUACGAAGAAAUUCUAUUGAAUUUUUUUUAUACUUUCAAUUAAUCAUCGGCACUAAGACAAACAUUUUACUAUUUUUUUCUACACUCACAUGAAAAAUGUUUGAGGAGGAGCGUUAUAAUCCCUGACAUUUUAUUCAAGUGUUUGAAUUCCAAUAAAACAAAAUUUCUUUUAUUUUUGUUAAAUUAAAAAUGAGGGUUGAAGUUUAAAUUACAUGAUUAAGCAAACGUUUCUUUCAUUGACGGACCAGGGGUAGGUAUGGGUCCACGUGAAUCAUGACGUGGCAUGCACUUACUAAAUUAUGUUGAGUUCGGAUCCUCUUUAUGAAGAUUUUGAGAAUCAGUAAAUCGUGUUUAUCGACGUACAUUAUGCGUUCAAAAAUUAUUUUAAAUAUAUUUAUUUAGAAAUAAACAUAAAUAGUUCUUGAUAAAAAAUUAAUCGCACAAUGUACGAUAAGCGGACACAAUUCACGGAUCUUCAGAAUCCUAAAAAAAAAAUCCGGAAAUGAUUCUGUUGAAGUCAUGCUAUGACUCUACCCAAAUAGUCAUGCUUCUCACGGAUUUCUGUUUUCUUUGUUUCCGUUGUUGGACAGGUAGUAGAGAUGUGAAGGGCACAUAUGUCAUUUUGUUUCUGCAGUAUGGGAUUGUUUUCAGCCGUCUGAUUAUCUGGUGUAGCCAAGUGGAUGGUUGAUAGUUUCAUGUAGUGUGUCUCGGUGUGAUUGUUCAAUUUAUUUGUUUUUCUUUUCUCAUUUUUAAUUUUUGUCCUCCUUCCUUCAAAUCUCUCUGUUGUAAAGGUGGAUAUGGAUGGUAGUAUUGUGAUUACUGAUUAAUGUCUCUUAAAACAUUAAUCAUUUAUUUUUCAAUGUGAUUUGUGUUCUCAUUUCUCCCAAUUGGGUUACAAGUUAUCCUUUGUGUUGUGAACAAAAUAUAUUCUAAACUUCUUUAAUUUACGAGAGCGAGAUCCAAACUUGAGUUUUAAAGGACGUGCAUAAUGCUCUCCCUAACUAACAUAAUUCACGUAUGCAAUAUCAACCGCUUCAGUGCUUCAUAUAUUAUUGUUUUUGUUUAUAGCGUUAUCAAUAAGCAAGGGAAAAGAACCGCUCCCCAUCAUAUCCAUGCGGAAUAUAAUUUAUAAAUAAUAUAUAAGAAAAAUUAAUAAAAAUGGUCUGAAAACUUUGAGUUUUAACGAUAAAGACAAAAUAAAGGGUCAAGUGAAUAAUACCAAGUUUGACUUUUUAAUGUAAAAAUAUGAUUUUUCGUUAAAGUAAACAGUACCACAAGCUUUUCGUUAAAACUUCCUAAUAUAUACGCAAAAACAUGUAGGGCUUUGUAGUGGUUGUGUUCAAGUGGAGCAGAGAGGAUGUUAACUUUUAUCCCGAAAAAGAAAAGUUGUUCAUCUACUUUUUCUGUUUAAUGCGAUACGUGAUGAUCGCCUGUACACUGCAAAUUUGUAAUAAAAACAAUGAAGGAAGCUACCUACCAUCCAAUCAAUUGCAUCACGAUUCACGACAAUGUUGGACGCUCCAACCCAUGUGCUUUCUUAUGGUACAAGCAGGGGGAGAAUCAAACUCAUCAGGACGACGGUACCUUAAAGCUAAAGAAGUAAACGUCCUUUCUUUUUUUUAUUAACUCAGCUACAGGUCCCGUGCAACUCCAAGUUAACUCUAAUCACCGCUUCCAUGUACGUGAUUAGACUUGUACAAACCCGAGAGAUUAGGAUUUAUAACCAAUUGUAUAUUUUUUUUCUGUCUAUCUUUCUCGUCGCAUGAUCAAAUCACGUAACGAAAUACAAACACUAGUUUAAGGGUCACUUUCUUAGUUGUGUUUUUAAUCCUUGGUCAAAUAUUAUGUUUCCCUGCACUGAUGUGAAAAGAAAAGAAAACAAAACGAAAAGAAAGGGUAGGGAAGUAAAACAGGUGGUGUCUAAUCUAGGCGUUUGCUCACCAAAUAAGUUAGAAAAUAUUUCCCAAUUGACAAGUACCCUUUGUGAAUUGUGAUAAUCCAAUUCCAUAUUGACAUUAAUAAAAAAAAUUUCUGGUGUAUUAAAAUCAAGGUAAGAAGAUUAUGAGCAGCAAAAACAAUGGAUGACCAAUUUGAAGGGAGAACGUCUUUGUCAGCGGUUCUAUUCGCCGCCAACACCGGUAAAACUCCUUGGAGCAUGUUUUAGCGGCGAUCCUGAAAACCGCUGACAAAAAAGGUAAAUAUUUUUGCGCUGUCUCUGCUUCCUGAAUCUCAAUUGAUGCACAAAUUUAUAGAACAUAAACACCAAAUCAAGGUGAGUAAAAAGCUCUACUGAUUCAAGUUCACUUUUACGGAGGGAUACAACGAAUGAUUGAGAAGUUACGCCUCAAGACGGAGUUACUUCAGCACACAUCAUCCAAUACACAACAGAUGUAAGGUGGUCAUAAUUUACAUCAACCAGUAUACAAUCAAACAUUUGCAAACCUGCACUUGAUGAGGGAGCGAGUCAGCAAGAAUUCCCUAAAAGUGAUUUCAAUUUUUAUCUCUCAUCCUUUGAAUUGCCACUCCCUGCGGCACAUGGGGCAAUGCGCCUGAGAAGUCUGUGAAUUUACCCAUUUUAAGAUACAAUGGAGAUGGAAAGCAUGGUUGCAUGCGCCCCAAACUGCAAAUAGAAUCAUUUAUCGUCGGAUUAUAUCAAUACAAACCAUAUAAUUUAGCGGGAAAUAAGAAAAAAAAAACAAAGACUAAAAGAAAUGCAAAUCACACUACUAAUGCAAAAUGUGAAAUGUCACAAUCUGGUUGGUCCAACGCAAAAGAUAAUAAAGGGUUUCGUAUCUGAAAUGCCGGUACUAUAAACAAUUUGGUUGGGCAGCUAGAUGCUAUAACCAAAUAUACAGGGGUUGACUGUUAGCUUAGGAGCACAUCAUGCUAGCUGUGUGCAUUGCAAACCAUGUGUAACAUGAUGUCCAUGAAACCAUGUGUAAAUGAUGUUCUAAGGUGUUGACACAGAUCUGAUGUUCUGUAUUAUUUGGGAAAUUUCAUAAGAGAAAAAUAAAGAAUAUCCAAUGUCGAUGUCUGUAAAUUAUCACUGAACUGUAUAUUCCAUAAUAUUUUGCAUCAAAGCAUUGCUACGAGUUGAUGCCAUUAUUUAUGGAAGAAUAGAACUACCCACAUAAAUCAUGACAGGAAAGUGUGAAAAAAAAAAGCACAACCAUGUGGACACAGGCAACAUGGAAUUCACUUUUCGACCAGCACAUGUUUAUAGAUCAACAUGAAACUCAGUUUGUGGAAUUGGGUCUUAAUAAUAGAAGAAACGUUAGAAUCUGGUGACAGUAAUGUUAGUGACUUACUUAGCGGGCAAUCAUCCCCAGGGAGUUUACAAUCGGGACAACAACCAUCAAAUGCCAUCCUACAAAUCCCACAUGUUUCGUCUUGUGCAUCCCAUGUCCAUGAAGCAACAGCAUGCCACCUGCAGGUCCAAAGGGAUAAGAGUUAGAGCUCCAAAGUAGAUGAAAUAAAACAUAUCCCAUAAAAAAAGGGCACAUCGAAUUUACACUUAGACACAUUCACACAUGCAACAAUUGAUUAAUGAACAUAAGAGAUAGAAAACCGGUAAAAAACAGACAUACUCUGUUUAAAAGCCCCAGCAGAUAUUCGCAAAGAGAGAAGGGUAAAGAGAAAACAGUUACGAUAAAAUGCAUAAUACGUCCAUUUCCCAUCAAAGAUGUUUCAAGUUAAAAAAAAGAUCACCGAGCAAAUGGGAUUGUCAAAUUAUCACAAUUGUUGUUAAAAAGAUAAUUGCACCGAAUCAUAAACAGGGGGAACGUAUGCUAGAGAUUCAUGACUAACAUAAUAGAUACUGAUCUUGUGAUCGCCAUUCAUAACAUUAGACUACAAUUAAGGUAGUAAAACUCUACAGCUCAUUAACUAUUCAUAGUUCCAGAGGAUGACAAAUCAUAGAAAUUCAAUACCAUCAAGCUGAAAUUCAUUCCACCACGAUUAGAUGCAACAGUUCGGAGACGGGAAAGAAAAGAGCAUUACAAAAGCUAUUUCUAAAUGGUAUAAACUAGUAAAUUUGAAAGAAAGAACAAAAUCAAAAUCUUAGGAAUUCGAAACUAUCAAGCCAAAAUCCAUUCUACCAUAUGAUUAAAUGCAACGAAGUUAAUAUCUUAGAAUAAAAAGUACAGAAAAUUACAUGAGCUAGUUGCAAAUGGUAUAUAAACUGGUGUAGUUUGAAAGAAAUAACAGAAUAACAUAAACACAGUGAGAAGGAUACGCAAGAUGUUGACUUUCAUCUUCUCCUCCUGCAACUGCAAAACCCCAAAACCCUACAUUUCAGAGCAAUGAAUUAGAACAAAUCCCCAAUAUUCCCAGAAUUUCUGUAAUUUCAAAUUCGAUAUUUCGAUUAGCUGAUUGUAAAACCCCAAAUCUACCUACCCAAUACAAACUCCUCGAUCAAAACUCAAGGGAGAUCGCAAACUGAACCCUCUGGGAACUGAAAAGUGUGGCAAAUCACUGCAAAAGUCCGAUUCCGGUUCCCAUCUCCAUAUCCCUGUGUCUGAAAAACCCUAAUUGUCAAAAAGGAGAAGUCGCGGUGCAGUUUUGGGCGGGUUGGGAGACCAGCACUGAAUUGGGCUGGAUUUGAAUUCAGUGUUUAACAUUUUGCAUGUGAGCCCAAUAGUAGAGGCUAAAUUUUUCGGUCAAACGUCAUACUGACACUUGAUAUUAUCGUCUAACUUUAUAAUAUUUUUAUAGGGAUUGAUGAAACGAUAUAGAGAUAAGAAAAAUGUUUGCACUUUAUCUUUAUAUAUUUGGGAAAUCACAAAAUAGAUGAAGAUCUCUCAACCAUAAUACAAGCUGGAUGGAUGAAUUGGAAGAAUGAAUCAAGUAUGUUGGCCAACCGUCUUAUGCCACUAAAACUCAAGAUGAAAUUUUAUAGGGCAUAGUAAGGCCAACAAUGCUUCACGACACGAAUGUUGGGCAGCCAAACACCAACACGUCCAAAAUAUGAGUGCAACAGAGAUGAUAAGCUUUGUUUGGAUGUAUGAGCACACGAGAAAAGACAUGUUAUUAUAAAUAAAUUAUAAAUUCAUUAUCGCAUCAGAGUGGUGGGUGUGAGGCAUGAAUCGCUAUCGGAGUUUAACCCGUUCGAGAGAUUUUCUUCUUAAGAUGUUUUGUUUUUCUUUUUCAAAUGCGGAAAGGUAAAAUUAGAAACUUAAAUUGUCUUGUUAUAUAUAGUAUAUCCAUAUGUAUGCUAGAAAAGAAAGAUAAACAAAAAUUUCUUAAAAAAAAUAAUGAAUUUUACCUUCUAAAUGAUAUUUACCAAAGAUAUUUAUAUGUAAUAACGCUCUUUUAAUGAAUGAAUGAACCAUACCGAAAAAAUUGCGUUAUAAUACAUGCAUCUAUGUAUGAAAAUUUCAAGAUAAAUUUCCAAAUAAAACCAAAUGGUGGAUAAUAUCAACAAAAAUCCAACAAGCUCAUGUAAACAAACUUUUAUUAUGGUAAUGAAUCUCCAGCCUAGAUUUCAUAUUCUAAAUUUGAUAGUCGCAUAAGUAUUAGUGGAGGUAAUGUGUACACAUUUCUUUUUUACUUUUGACCAUUAGAUUGAAUAAAUCAAACAAAAAUAAUGGACAUGAUUAAACAAAGGUGCGUGAGAGAUUAAAAAUGUUUCGUGUUUAUUAUUUUAAAAAUAUUAAAUUUCAAUUGAGGACAAAAUAUUUCAUAAUUGAUUAAAGUAGCCUCUUGUGAAAUACUAUAAAUAUCAUAAGCUAUUUAGGGUUAAAGCACACGGACUAAAGUCUGAAACCUAAAGUUGCCUUCUUCCCUUUCAUUUCCCUAGUUUCCAUUUCUCUCUCUAUUGAGAAAUCAUGACUAGAAAGAAAGUCAAACUAGCCUUCAUGAUAAACAACUUAAUGCAGAACGAAAAAGAGAUAAAGGAGAUGUCAAAAACACAUAAGGCUUGACAGAAAAAUGAUAGAAGAGCAAUGCUUAAUUCUUCGUUACCAUAAAAUUAUAAUUCCAAAUUGUCUCCUUUAGCAUAUCAAACUCCCUCCCUAAUAUAAUAGUGUGCCAAAACAUCUUCAUCAAUGCAAAUACAACUCCCUAAGCCACUGAAACAUAUUAAAUGACAAUUGUUCCACCUAGCCACUUAAUUUAAAUGCAUCAAAAUUACUACAAAACAUUACAUCACAACCUAAGAUACAUGAAUCUCAAAUUAAUAAUUAACGGAAUGGAUGAACACCAAAAUACCAAAAGCCCCAUUGAAUAAACUCCUUAUUCACUACAUCACAACUCGUCGCGAAAAGCGACGUUCAGGAAAAAGAGGAAGGAAUUCAUGAAGAUGUAUGAAAUCAAUAAACUUUGUGAUGUUCUAACAUGUGCUAUCAUGUGCAGUCCAAAUAAGUCUCAACCUGAUGCCCUGCCUGAUCAUUCAGAAGUGCGACGCCUCAUCGAGCAGUUCAAGAACAUGCCCGAGGAGGAGCGAAACAAAGUGAUGGUAAACUAUAAGAUGUUUCUGAAGCAGAUGGUCGACAUGGAGCUGGAGAAGGUAAACAAGCUGGAGAAAGAGAACCGAGAAUUGGAAAUUUGGAUGGCAAUGAACCAGUUCAUUGCUGGGAAGCCCCUGAACGACUUGCAGUUCACUGAUUUAAAGGAAAUGAGGAGGAUGACCAAAGAAAAAUUGAAGGAAUUUGAAGCGAAGAUCAAGAGCUGGAAGGAGGAGCUGGCGAAGAUGAAUCAACUCUUAGGUGCACAACCGGUGACUACAGUAGCUGGUGAGAACAUUCAGAACGCCAUGCAGAUGGUUCCAUGGUCCAUGUGGGACGUGCCGACCAAAAGUUCUUGACGUGGAUGAUCAUAUGUCAACUCUUGGGCAUUAGGACCACGAUGAUCAGUGGUGCUGGGUGAUCUAAGAACCCCUUUAAUUUCCCUUGAGCUAUUUAAGUAGUUUUUGUAUUUUAUUUUUAUGUUAUUUUUCUUCAUCGUUGUUUUAAGUUAUUUCUAAUUUUAUGCUUGCUUAUCUUGACCUCAAAACCACAUGGUUCCUAUGCCUCUUAAUUUCUUGCUUUUAAUCUAGAAAAAAUUAAUUAUAUAAGGUUGUUUGGUAACUUUGGUUUGUAUUCAACAUUCUUAGACUACUUAUUAGUAUUAAGAUUCAAUUGUGUUCCUCAUCACUUGUAAGUGAGAGAUUAUAGGUUUGUAUUUCAUGGAUGGUGGAAUGGAUUUAUUUUUCUCUCCUUAAUAUAUAAACCUAACCCCUAUCAAACUGACAUUAUUAUGACAAUAAUGUAACACAAAUCAAAGUUAGGUUGCAUGAUUCUUACAUAUAGACAUUACACUCAUUUAAACUAUUGUGCAAUGCCCUUGUUUAAUCAAAGCCUAUAUAUAUGUUAUAGUUUUGCUAUAUGAGAAAUCCAAGGGCAUCUGUUUUUCAAGGUUCAAAAAGAUGCUAAGUUCUAGCCGGACAUCAUGGGGCCUCGUGCCUAGACGGCUAGGUUGGAUCUAGGAGGAUUUAAUGAAAUUUACUAUAUAACAUAUAAAUAUAGGUGCCUACUUGCACUCUACAAAAAAAAAAAAAAAAACCUUGUAUUGAGAAUUUAGGAAAGUUAAAAUUUAUAUCAUUAUGGCAUUGACAUCAUCACAGACCAAUGCAUCAAAAAUAAGAAAAUCCGAAACCAAAUUCGACAGCUCAAUAAUUCCAUAAUCUAAAUUUGAGGUCAUCUUUCAUCUUAAUCAAUAUUCAAUGAAUCAAUAUAUGUAUAUGGGAUCGUGCAUCUAGAAUUCAACACCAUUCAAUUGCAGUAUGAAUAAAAUUAAAAAUUAAAAUCUAAAAAAGAACAAAAACAUUGAAAACCUACUCGCAAAGUCUGAGCAAGCUGCAUAAUGAGACAAAGGGAUGGCAAGAGCGAGUCUAGGUGACGGCAGCUACAACACCUGACGCAUGUAGAGUUAGAGUUGGCGCGCGGAGGUAAGAGAGAGGAAGAGAGAGAACGUGACUGUGCGAAGAGACGGAAAAGAGAAACAAGAAACGUGCGGGAGACAUAAUGUGAAAAUUUUUAUUUGAACUCAUAUAACAUUUUUCUACGUUCAACUUAAACUUUAAAUGUCAACUACAUUUUUUAUCCUAUUGCAUAGUUAUCAUCAGUACAAGAUAAAAUUAUCAAUAAAAUUAUACCAGUAAUCAAAACCUACAAUCACAUCAAACAUUUCCACUAUGCAAUCUUCAUCCUACGUUCAUUCUAGCUGAAACCAUAAGACGCUCUUAUAGAGAAAAACAUGCUCUUUUGUACCAAUUAAUGAUGAUUUUGACAUUUUGAAUCCUCCAACUAAAGUAUGAGUUGAUUAAAACUUUUUUAGAGUUGAAAGAAAAAAAUCAAGGCCUUUUCUAAAGCAUAAUUACUCAUAGAUUUGUUAUGUUACCUUAUACUCAAAUUUUUCCAAAGCAUAAUUUAAAGAGGUAGACUACAAUUUCAAGUGUGAUCAUUGUAAGUGCUAUUCCAAACCAAAUAUCGAACCUCACACGCUUGAAUAGAUUACACCUCUCGAAAAAUCAUCUUACGGAUAAAUAUGGGAUUUCUACCAGUCAGAUGAUUUCUCCUCUAAUCUAACCUAAAAUCAAAUAUGGGAUUUCUUCUCGAGAAAUCCCCCACAUCCAAACAAAUGUCAACAGAUGAAUACAAGUAAUGAUAAAUAUGCAGAAAAAAGGAUGAACCAUGAUACAAAUAUGUGAGAGAUGCUGCUCUAUUUAUGCCUUGAAUGAGUUGCAUAGCAUUGAUUUUGAGUUUUCUUUUUUCUAAAUGGGUAAGAAUUGUGGUCUUCAAACUUUUAUACAUCAAGUAUUUUUCAUCCCAGUCUUUUACUUAAAGUAAGGAUUAUGGAACACUUUCAUACUUCUGUUACGCUUUCUGUCAAAACCUCCAUUAAUGCGUGACGUGUGCCCCAAGACAAUGAUCGGGUGCCACGUGUCAAUCUGACCAUGCGUGGACAUUAAAAAAGUUAAAAAUUUAAAGCAUUCAAGCGCCCAAGCCCCUACCUUUCUCCUGUUCACCGUCCCUUUUCUCUUCUUGUGAUAUCCCGUCCUAAAUUUUAGUAUUUUAUUUCAUUUUUAGAAGUAUUUCAGAGAUUUAAUUGAAAUUAGUUCAUUAAAUUCUCCUGUUUGAGAAAAUUGAAGUGGGGUGUAUUUUUUUCAUUGCAAAUUUUACUUGACCUUUUAGGCCAAUUCUUGAGUUGGUUAGGUAUAGCUCACUCCCACGAGUGUGUAGGCGCAAAUGGAACCCAAUUCCGAGUUAGAAUGAAGUUAGAAGCUUUUUAAGUUGGAGAGCAUUUUGGCAUUUUGACCGAAGGUUAUAAGUGGAAAGUCUGACUUUUAGAAGUCAGAAAUUCCAACUUUUCAAAUCAGGAAAGCUGAGCCCAGGAACCAACCCAAUCGCGAUCCACAACUUUCAAUUUUCCGACGCUGAUUUCAACUAACUUUGGCGAAAAUUUUCACCAUUACUGCCAUCUUGAAGCUCUCACUCCCCUCUACAAAAACCACCUCGAUUAACACCGCAAGUGGCGUUGCCAGGCCAUGAAAGUUUAGAGUUCCAGCCUCUAACUACCUUUCUCAUUUUUCUGGCGAAUCAGUGAAGCGAUGGCGAACGACACCAUCUAGACUUUGUAGCCCAUCAUCCUAGGAGCAAAACUUGACCAACCCCAAUCCCAAUGGACUAUCAUAUGCAGCAAAUCGACGGUGGGAAGUUUUGUGCACCCGCCGCCUUUACCGACAAAAUUGAUCAUCUUCCAUCCUGUUUUGGACUUUGUGGCAGAUAUAAAAGUUGUUGCUCUCAUUGAGAUCUACAUUUUUGUAAGGGAGACUUUAGAUGCGGUCCCUAGUUAUGAACAAUCUUUGACUGAAACCUUGUUGUUUUUCAAUUUUUGAUCCAAGUCCCUAAAAUUAAUUGAUAAUUUAUUUCUAUGUACGUUACUAUAUUUUUUAAAUUAAAAAUUAAAAUUUAUAGUUGUUUAUAGUAAUGAGAUUUUAAAUAAAAAAAUCAUAAUUUGUGGGAUUAAAAAUAUUAAAAUAUAAAUAUACUAUUGUGUGUGUGUGUAAACAUGGGUACAUUCAUAAAAAAUAACCAAAAAAUUAUUGUAUCAAAACAUGGGUACAUUCUUCAAAAUGGGUACAUUUAGCAAAAAUAAAAAUGGGUACAAAUAAAUAAAAAAAUAUGGGUACAAUACAAAUAAAACUUUAAAAAAUAUGGGCACAAAAAGAAAUUAAUAUAUGGGUACAAAUUAAAAUUGAAAGGAAAAUUGGUACAAAUUAAAAAAAGGGUUGCAAAUUAAAAAUGGGUACAAACUAAAAAUAAAAAUAUAUGAUAAAAAAUUUAGCCAUAAAUAUAAAUAUACUAAUUGUAACAUUUUUAAUAUUAAAUGAAUAUAUUUAGAAAUAAAAAAUAUUUUAUUAUUGAAAUAAUUAAUGAUAUUAUUAAUACAAAGGACCUUGAUCAAAAAUUGAAAAGUAAUAAGGUUUUAAUCAAUAGAGUAGUAUAAAUAAGGAUGAAAACCUAAUUACUCCUUUUUGUAAAUUUGAAUAGAAGUGGAGUAUGUCAGAAACUAGGUUUUUGGUCGCCGGAAACCACCAUGCGCAGCGGCGCUUGUGGCAGUGUGUGGGAGGAAAUCAAAUUUCAUGGAUUUGGGACAUCAAGAUGUUCUCAAUGUCUUGAACCCAUAUCCAAGGUCCGUUUGUUGAAUUUCGAUACGAUGGUUCGAAUAUUUCAUUUUUGAGAUAAUUGUGCCGCUGCAUGAUUUUUGUAAUUGACGACAAUCCGACAUUUAGAUAGUCGUGAAUUUUAGUAUGUUGUUUUGGAAGCUUAUUUAGGUCUUUAGAAAGUUACGGAUCAGAAAUCCAAUGUGCGAAUCUGCCGAAAUGAAUAACCUUAGAUUGCUAACCUUAGUAGGGCCUACUUUGACCGUUCUAGUGUGUCGUUUAUAUAUAGAAUGCUGUUGAGACUUCAUGGAGCUUAGUUGUAAAAUCGUAAUUGUGAAAUAGAAGACUGUGUCCAAUUUUAGGCAGGUUGAGAGACCAGCACUUAAUUGGGUUGGAUUUGAAUUCAUAGUGUUUUACAUUUUGCAAGUUAGCCCAAUAAUACACGCAAACUUUUUCGGAGAGACGUUAUGUUGAAACGAAUACAUUUGAUUAUUAGAAAUUGUAAAUUUAUUAUCGCAUCAGAUUGGUAGGUGAGCAUUAAAAUGAGGGAUGAAUGGCGAGCAUGCUCGAGAGAUUUUUUUUCUUAAGAUGUUUUGUUUUUCUUUCUUAAAUGCGAAAAGGUUAAAAAUAGCAAUUUAAAAUUUCUUGAUAUAUAUAGUAUAUCCAUAUGUCUGCCAGAAAAGGGAGAGAAACAAAAAUUUCCUAAAAAAGAAUGAAUUGUACUGUAUAAGUUAUAAUUAUCAAAGAAAGUUAUAUAUAAUAAUUAUCGUUCAAUGAAUGAAUGCACGAGACAGAAAAAUUUGUGUCAUAAUACAUGCACCUAAGGAUGAAAUUUCAAAAUAAACUUCCAUAUAAAACCAAAUGGUGGAUAAUAUCAAACAAAAAUCCAACAAGUUCAUGUAAAUAAACUUUUAUUAUGCUAAUAAAUCUCCAGCCUAGAUUUCAUAUUAUAAAUUUGUUAGUCGCAUAAAUAUUUGUGAGAUAAUUUUGACACAUUUCUUUUAUUUUUGAUCAUCAGAUUUAAUAAAUCAAAUAAAAAUAACAGACAUGAUUAAAUAAAAAUGCGUGAGAAACUAAAAUUGUGCUUGUUUAUCACCUUAAAAGUAUUAAAUUUCUAUUGAUGACAAAAUAUGUCAUAAUUGAUUAAAGUAGCCCCUUACAAAAUACUAUAAAUAGGAUUAGCUAUUUAGGGUUAAACCAUACCUUCUAAGAGUAUGAAACCCUAAAGCCGCCUUCUUCCCUUCCUUUCCCUAGUUUUCAUUUGUCUCUUCUUUGAGAAAUUAUGACUAGAAGGAAAGUGAAAUUAGCCUUCAUCAUGAACGACUCGUCGCGAAAAGUGACAUUCAGGAAAAGGAAGAGGGGAUUCAUGAAGAAGAUGUUUGAAAUCAAUAAACUUUGUGAUGUUCCAACAUGUGCUGUCAUAUACAGUCCAGAUGAGCCUCAACCUGAUGUCUGGCCUAAUCCUUCAGAAGCACGACGCCUCAUUGAGCAGUUCGAGAACAUGCCCGAGGAGGAGCGAAAUAAAAAGAUGGUGACCCAUGAGAUGUUUCUGAAGCAGAUGGUUGAAAAGGAGCAACAGAAGGUGAACAAGCAAAAAAAAGAAAACCGAGAGGUGGAAAUUUGGCUGGCCAUGAACCAGUGCCUCACUGGGAAGCCCCUGACCGUCUUGGAGUUCAUUGAUAUACAGGAAAUAGGGUGGAUGAUCGACGGGAGAUUGAAGGAAGUUGUCGCGAUUCAGAGCCGGAAGGAAGACGAGCUAGCGAAGAUGAAUCAACCCUUAGGUGCACAACCGUCAGUGACUUCAGCGACAAUUGAUGAAAACAUUCAGAACGCCAUACAGGUGGUUCCAUGGUCCAUUGGGGACGUGCCGACCCCACAAUCUGGUGAUAUGGAUGAUUAGAUCAUGUUGCUUUAAGGAUUAAGACCACCAUGUUAGAUGGUGUUAGGUGGUCUUAUAACCCGGUUAAAUUCCCUUGAGUUGUUUAAGAAGUUUUUGUUGUUUUUAUUUUUGUUAUUUUGCUUCAACAGUGUUUUAAGCUUCUAUUUUGAUGCUUGUUUACCUUGACAUCAAAACCACAGAGUUUCUAUCUUUUAAUUUCUUGAAUUUUACGUAGGAAAAAUUAAUUGUAUAAGAGUUGUUUGGUAAUUUUGGUUUGUAUUUCACAUUAUUCAGCCAAUAGUGCUACAUUAUACUGGAAUUCCUCUUUACUUGUUAGUAAGAUAUAAUAGGUUCGUACCUUAUGAAUGACGAGUUUGAAAGUAAUUUAUUUUCACCCCUUAAUGUAAAUAUAUAAAAUCCUCUCAUUGAAGAAUCCUUCAAAGAAAAUCAUUUGAGCGACUCUUGUGGUGCUCAAUCCCUAUUGUAUUUCAAUAAUCCAACUCCCUAUAUAUCUUUAAGAUAUUUCCUCGAAAAUUAUCUCUAUAAAAAAAUCACUGAUAUCUAAAAUCAUAUUACCAUUGUAUCAAAUGGUAGCCUUUUCGUGUUUUUUUUUUUUUGAGGAACUGAUUCUGUGAAUGAUAGAUGGGAGAUGGAAGAGAAAAAAAAAAACUAAGUCUAAACAUCUCUCAUAAGUUCACUAAUUACUUAACUAUUUAUUGGUGGGUCUCUUUGUAUGUGUUGUCCGGAAAGAGGAAGACUCAACGAUUCUUUCUAUGGGAUCACAUGUCUUUUUAUUAGCUCCUAUUUGUGGUGCACAAUUUCGUAGAAUGUAGGUAGUGGUUAUGAUCACAUCGAGGUGCCAAACCUUCUCGUCGAUAUGAGCUCUUGGGGUAGAUCAACAUGUUAUACCUAGAGUAACUUUUAUCCGUUGAGCGACGACAUUUCAUUCGGCACUGUUAGAUCACUAAGGCCGACUUUUGUCCUUGCUUGACAGGUGGGUCUCGCAAUCAAGCUCGAACUUAUGAGAGAUGUAGAUGAGCAUAACAUGAGUUAUUCGGCAUAUUUUGAUUCCUAUAUAUAUCCACUCAUGUGGAUGCUAGGCGCUAAUCGGGCGACGGGUUGGGGCCUAGUGCCUAGGUGGCUAGGUGGAGCCUAGGUGGACUAGGCGGAUUUAAGUAAAUCUAUUGUAUUUUGUGUAAAUAAGUGUCUAUUUAUACUUAAAAUGUAUAUAAUUUCAUCAUAAACUAGAAAUUAGAAUGACAUAUAUUAUGAAGUAUUGGAACAAAAUAUGGGAGUAAACAUAUAAUGUGUGUUUAUUGAAGUGUUCAAUAAGUCUAUUACAAUUUAUUGGAAACAAUAAAAUGCAAAAGGAAAAUUAUCUAUUUUGUAUCUAAGUGAGUUGCAACCUAGGCAAGUGUCUAGGCAAGUCUGGGCGGGCUAGACGAGUGCCUAGGCCGUCUAGGAGAGCGCCUCAACAGGUUUAGGUGCCCUUUCUUAAUUUUCAAACGCUUAAGCAUUAAUCGGAGCGAUGUUAGGUGGAGGUUUUUAGAACAGUGGGUAAAACAAUCACAAUUGCUAAUAGCAAUUUGAAUGAUGUACUCAAUAUUAUUUAUAGAGGGAAAAUUUCAUUUUCACGGAUAAUAAGUUACGUAGUGUUACUUAGUUAUUCAUGCUAUUACAUGUUUUAAUUAUUAAAAAAAAUUGCCUAUGUUUCUAAUAUGAGGACAAUUAAUGUUUUUGUGGCUUUGUUAGAACCCUAAAUUCGUCGUGAAGCAAACGGUGAUCCAUCGACGCCAAAUUUUCUUUAUUUUGGGUUGCCUUUUGUUUGGCAUGAGGUGCGCUCUAAUUUAAUUCAAGACACCAUGUUAUUGUAGUUGGUGUCAGGCUUUCGCCGCCUCCAAAAAAAAUUUUGAUCAUUAAUAAUUUCAUCUUGUACUGUCAAGGUUCUAAAAGGUGCUAGGCACUAGUUGGGCGACUGGAAUAGGGCCUAACGCCUAGACGGAUUUAAGUAAAUCUAUUGUAUUUCAUGUAAAUAAGUGUUUCUUUAUACUUAAAAUAUAUAAUUUCAUCAUAAACUAGAAAAUAUAAUGACAUAUAUAUUAUGAAGUAUUGGAACAUAAUGAAAACAUAGGGAGCAAGCAAACAUAUAAUUUGUGUUUAUUUAAUUGUUCAAUAAGUCUCUUACAAUUUAUUGGAAACAAUAAAAUGCUGUUUGGGCCCAAAAUAAUAGUUUGGGCCGAGUAUAGAAUCGUUCUCGGCCCGGAAGGCCUUGCGACAAGAAUGCCGUGGAUUGUUCAGUACGUGGGCCUCCAAACCUAGGUCGGCUAGGUCAUAACGCAAGAAGUCGAGUCCUAGUGCAAUGAGGAGUCUCGGCAUGACUAAUAACCCGGAAGCGAAUCCGGCUCAGUUAGGGACUAGGUUCACAAUCCUAGUGAAAAUAGGAUUGGUCGAGUUGGUGCUGAUUAGGAGAAGAAGACCUAGUCCGAGUAGGGUUUUAACUCGACCUUGGGGGGAGCCGUUGCUAUAAAUAGAAGAGGCUGUGCAUCAUUCAAGCCCCCUGCAAAUCAAUACAAAACUGCCAUGCGCAAACUCUCAACAACUUGAGAUUUUUUCCUUCUUUUUCGCUGACACAUCUUCCGUUGGCAUCAACAACACUGUGGAAGCAACCGGUGAUAUCUUAAGUUGGCAUAGAUAGCUCUGUCACCGUAGAAUCAGUCGAUCUCGCAGUAUCUUCCGUUGGCAUCAACAGCACUGCGGCGAGAAUGGUUGAUUACCUAUCCAAGUCUCGGUCGAGAAGGAUUUCUGAAUCCUUAUUGAUUGAGGUCAUCUCAUUAGCCUUCUCGGCGAAGUGAGGUGUUACGGUAUAUCGAGCUCGGCGCUUUGCUCGCCGAGUUAUUUUAUGAUUGGAUAUUCCCAAGUGGGAUUUAGAGUUCGGCAUUUGGACGGCCGAACCACGUUUACCAUCAAGACUUAUAUCUGUUUUGAGUAUUUGUGCCCUUACACUUUGGUGUCGAUUCAGCGAGAGUUUACUCUGACGAAUAACAUCAUUGUGACCGAAUCCGACGACGACGAUUCGUGAACUUCGUAAAGAAUAGUAACCUUGUCUUCAGGUUCGAGAACCCAAGAGGCCGAGACGCGUUCCUUCCUCGAUCGAAAUCGCAAGACGUAGAAGUCAGCCGCGCACCCAACGCAACAUCAACAAAUUUACUCCUCGGCCGAGCUCGGCCGACGAGUUGGCACGCCCGCAUUCACCGAAGGACGUAGUUAGCUUAUAGAUUACUCGGCCUGUGCGCCACGUAGGCUUGGUAGUUUCUAGGGUCAACAUUUUGGCACGCCCAGUGGGACCCAGUGCUAAACUACGAAGUUUAUGCCAAUUGAAACAUGAUCGGUAAAAAAGAAAACAGCUAUGGGAAAGUCGACAGCCGAUCUACCAAAUCAGAACAUAGGACACCAUGUGCCACAAGCGCAGAAUCCCAUCAGCGCCGUGACACCUGAGUCCACGAGCGCAACUCGCCGAGAGAGGGAAGUUAAUCUCGGCGGUCAGGUUCGCAGUCUUGAAAUUCCUGACAGGAACACUUGCGUUCUCAAUGAAGGAGUAAUAGAAGAUUGUGAUGAAGAUGGUGGCGAAGGAUCCGAUCCACCCACAAGGUCGUUUCUUCGAAAACGGCUUGACGAGCAAUCUCGGACGGUUGAACAGACAUUGAGUCGAGGAAUCGAUAAGCUUCAUGACGUGAUACGCAAUUCCAGUGAAGCACAAACCAGAUUACUCGAAAUACUGGUUAGUAAGGUCAACGAUGGUAGAACUUUCGAUCUUGCCCAUCAUUUGCCACCGAGGAAUAAUCUAUUAUCAAGUGCACCGGCCGAGCUAAUUCCUGCUCGGCUCAGGCCACUUCAAUUGGAAAGAGGAUGAGGGUCGAAUAGUAGGUCAGACGGAUCCGACCAGAGAGUGGAAGUAACGCCCGUCGAUAUGACCGAAGUUCAAAGGAUGAUCAAUUCGGCCAUGAAGAAAGGGCCGAAGUUCCCUAAGUUUAUACACCCGUAUCCAGCUUGCGUGGAACAGGUCGAAUACCCUAGAGGUUUCAAGAUCCUGGAUUUUAGCCUUUUUGCCGGAGAAUCAUCCUUAUCCUCGUUAGAACAUGUAGCUCGCUUCACCGCACAAUGCGGAGACGUUAAUAGUGACUUUCACAAGUUGCGACUUUUCAAUUUUUCGUUGACUGGCUCAGCGUUCGCUUGGUAUAUUAACCUCCCACCGAACUCCGUCCAGAGUUGGGAGGAGUUGGUCGAGAAAUUUCAUGAGCAGUUUUAUCAACCGGGAAUGGAAAUGUCAGUAUCCUCACUAGCAAGGAUGGCUCAGGCGUCCAACGAGUCACCAAUGGAUUAUCUUACUAGAUUCAAAUCAGCUAGGAAUUGGUGCCGAGUGCCUCUCCCCGAAGUUGAAUUCGUCAGACUUGCUCUGAACGGUCUUGACGUCGAAUACAAAAAGAAAUUCUUGGGGGCAAACUUUCGGGAUAUGUACAAAUUAGCCCAACAUGUCGAGCAGUAUGAUUAUUUGCUCCGCGAGGAAAAGAUUUCGAAAGCUCCAUCUCGGGGGACGAUUUACAAGAAUCCUGCUGUCAAUUAUGCAUCAACCGAGGAUGAAUGCAUUAGUGUGGAUGCAACUGAGAUAGUGAUAGAUAAGCCAUACGUUUGCAAGGUACUGACUCAAGUUGACUCUAAGGAAGUCAAAAUCCGCUCGGCUACUGAAGGAGCACUGAAACCGUCGAAAGUUUAUACUUUUGAUAUUACAAAGGCCGAUGCAAUUUUUGAUCAACUGUUAUCAGCAAGGAUCAUCAAACUUCGACCUGGGCACAACAUUCCCAAGGCUGAAGAGCUUAAAGGAAAGAUAUAUUGCAAAUACCACAAUUCAAGCAAACACACGACAAACAAUUGCGUCGUGUUUCGAGACAACGUCCAAAGCUGGAUUGAUAAUGGCAAACUGAAAUUUCCGGAGAAGAAGAUGAGUGUUGAUACUGACCCGUUCCCCACGGCAACAAUAAAUAUGGUCGAUGCGUGCCUACCUAAAGACAAAGGGAAAGGGAAGGCCGAAGAUGUUGCGACGCAACGCUUUCGGAAUCAGAAUUCUCGGCCACGUUUCAUGGCUGAUUUUCGCUCAAACAAACCACCUACAGCUUUAACGGGACCCGCUAUUGUCAAACCUAUGAUGGAUUAUACCACCGAUGAAGACAGUGGGACAUCGGUUUUGUGCAGUAAAUGUAGAGCAAAGGUCGGCAGUGAGCCAGAGGAGAAGCCAUCUUCGCUUAUAACAGAACGACCUACGGCCGCAACCCAGCAAAAGGUUGCCAACGUAGGCCAACAUCAAGGGGUUUUUUUAUAGGCUCGGUCCUAAAGUGAGGAUGGAAGAGACACCCUCAGUCAGGCGGCGCCUUGAUUUUGAUACUUCAUUUUAUGAUGAGGACUACUAUAAACGUAAUUCUAGCAGUUCAGAAUCAUCGCGGAGCCAAAAAACUUUCAAACCUCCCAAACCUAGCGAUCAAUGUUGGUAUACAUAUCAUUCUUCGAAAGGCGUCUACACCGCACUGUCCAAAUCCCAGAAACGCCGGCACCAAAGGAUAGAUUGCAUGGCCCGCCGACAAGCGGCCCAAGAAACUUCGGUCCCUCAAUGGCGGCCGAAUGACACAAUUGUUACUGAUGAUGAACGACCACCCCCAACUAUUAUGACAGAGUUGGUUCAAGGGAAACGGCUGGUCAACCGAGAUGUCGAAACCACGUUCGAAGAGGCUGAUAAACGAAUCAAACUUCUUCUUCGGCCGAGGGAGAUGAAGGCACGCCUCGAGCAUUUCAGGCAAGAGGCUGAAAGCAAAUUAGCCCCGCCAGCCAUAUAAGAACCUUUGAUCAAAAUUCGACGGAAUUUGCACCCACCAUUCCUCGGGGAGGCUUUGGAAUACAUGCGAGAAUUUCAUAAGAAACAUUCAGCCAAUGAUCUGUAUGGUUUACCGAAGGCAUGUCAGGAUACAAUUGAUCUAGUUCUGAUUUAUCCUGAUGCCGAGUGAAUCAUUCAGAAGACCUCAGACCCAGGAUUGAAAGCAAGGUUCCAGCACAUACGAGAAGCUCGUGUCCUUGGAUUUGAAAUCGACCCAUACACUGAUAUCGAUGCAGCCGACCUUCCUUUCUCAAUGGAGGACCUUCAGUAUUUACGAUAUCACUUCGAAGUAUUUUCGGCUGUUUCUCUAUUCGGCCUUACGACCGAUGAAAUAGCACGUGUUGUGCGAUUGGAUGCUUAUCUCGACACCAGGGAUGCCCGAAUACACUACCAGGAGCAGGCUCGGAUCUUGACCCCAAGCACACUGUCGACCUCAACCUCACUUGAGGCAAUCACGCAGAACCAACAAGUUGCCGAAGCAGCAACACAGGAUCAAACCACUGAAGAAGGAGCAGAAGAGUCUCUUUGUCCAACUCUGACAACAACGGAAGCCGUAGUCGUCGACCAGACGAGGGAUGAGGUUAGCGAGGAAGAUCCUAACCCGUUGGGCCCAUCAGUCUUGGAUAACAUGGAAAUCAGUAUGGUCCAUGUGUUACCCGCUGCUUUUCAAUCCAGCACAGCUCAGCCGAAUUUCCUCGAUGGUGAUGUAGUCGCCGAGGAAGCCGGCCAUGUUGAUUUUGUAUCCGUUGCUGAAGUUAACUCUGCAACAAAGGAUGACAAUAUCAAAGCAGCUUUGGCCGAAUUAUUUCCUCGCUCACCAUCGGCCAACCUCCAUCAUUUAAAGCCAUUGUAUGUGACGGCCCAUAUCGAGGGAUAUCCAGUUUCUAAAGUUUUUGUCGACUGUGGAGCUACCGUCAAUAUCAUGCCUAUGAACAUCAUGAAGGCCUUACGUCACUCUAAUGACGAACUUAUUCCGUCAGGGAUCACAAUGAGUAGUUUCGUCGGUGACAAAUCCCAAACCAAAUGUGUCAUUCCGUUAACAGUGAAUAUUGCCGGUCGCACUUACAUGACCGCCUUUUUCGUGGUCGAUUCUAAAACCGAGUAUAAUGCACUACUCGGUCGAGAUUGGAUUCACCAAACCAGCUGUAUUCCUUCCUCAUUGUAUCAAGUGCUCAUUUUUUUGGGACGGCAAAUCGGUCACUGUUCACCCGGCCAAUAGCCAACCCUUCGAAACUAACAUGAUCCAAGCACGGUACUAUGAUGACCACGUCGGCUACAUUACUUUGCAAGGCAUCAAUGAUGAAGGACGGUCGACUUGGAUUUCUGUUCAGAAAGCUAUCGAGGUUGGCGCCGAGAUUGUCCACCAGGAUUCGGCGAGACUCGAGUUAGCCAACUUCCUUCUCGAAGCUGAUGUUUGACACCGAUCGGGAAGAACGUAGGGCCGCGGUUUCAUCUACUAUGGAACGACUGCUGGCCCAUUGGUAUACUAUAUCUAAACAACCAAAUUCAGGCGUUAACCUCGUCGAGUUCCUCGCCGAAGGAAAUAAUAGUCCUGUCUUAUCCCUUGACAAAGUUCGAGCCGCCCCGGCCGAGCUCGAAGAUCAUCAGCCCCAAGUUAAGGACCCUCUGGAAGAGAUUAAUGUUGGGACGACCCACGACCCACGACCUUUGUUUAUUAGUGCUUUACUUCCCCAACAAAUGAAGGACGAACUUCGUGCCUUGCUUACGGAGUUCAAAGAUUGUUUUGCUUGGAGCUACCAUGAAAUGCCCGGCUUAGAUCGUACUCUUGUCGAGCAUGAAUUACGUAUUAAGCCCGAAUGUAAACCUUUCCGGCAGCCACCUCAUCGAUUCUCGAUCGAAGUGCAACUCGGCAUCAAAGACGAACUGGUUCGACUUUUGAAAGCCGGGUUCAUUCGGACAGCUCGAUAUGUGGAAUGGUUGGCGAAUAUCGUUCCUGUCUUAAAGAAGAAUGGUGCACUGCGCAUUUGCAUCGAUUUCAGAAAUCUGAAUCUGGCAACUCCCAAAGAUGAGUAUACAAUGCCGAUUUCAGAUCUGUUAAUCGAUGCCGCGGCGAAUCAUGCGAUCUUAUCCUUUAUGGAUGGACAUGCCGGGUACAACCAAAUUUUCAUUGCCGAAGCCGAUGUGCACAAAACUGCUUUCCGCUGCCCGGGGGCACUCGGCACUUACGAAUGGGUUGUUAUGCCAUUCGGCCUCAAAAAUACCGGCGCCACAUACCAACGGGCAAUGAACACCAUAUUUCAUGAUUUAAUUGGAACCAUCGUCGAAGCCUAUAUCGACGAUGGUGUAAUUAAAUCCAAACAACGGCGGACUCAUGUGGAUAAUCUCCGACAGGCAUUCCUUCGUAUGCGCCAACACAAUCUCAAAAUGAAUCCUGCCAAGUGUGCAUUCGAUGUGUCGGCUGGUAAUUUUCUCGGUUUCCUGGUACAUCACCGUGGGAUUGAAGUGGACGAAAAUAAAGCACGUGCAAUCAUUAGUGCUCCACCCCCGACUACGAAGAAACAGUUGCAGUCCAUACUCGGCAAGAUAAAUUUUCUCCGUCGAUUUAUAGCUAACUCGGCAGGGAAAAUGAAAGCGUUUUCGAUGCUGUUGAAACUUAAGAACUCGGAUACAUUUGCGUGGACGAACGAGCAUCAGGCGGCGUUUACACAAAUCAAAGUCUCCCUCACGACACCACAUGUCCUUGUUCCACCUCGGCGCGGUAAACCCCUCAAACUAUAUAUCUCGGCGUCUGAAGAGUCCAUCGGCUGCCUCCUUGCCCAAGAUAACGAUGCCGGGCGAGAGCAGGCUAUUUUUUACCUCAGUCGAAAUCUUAAUCCACCGGAGAUCAAUUAUUCCGCCGUUGAGAAGCUCUGUCUUGCCGUGUUCUUCGCCGCCUCCAAGCUCCGGCAUUACAUGCUUCCGUCGGUCACACAAAUCAUGGCCCAGACCGACGUUAUCCGGUACAUGCUUACCCGGCCAAUUGUAAAAGGGAGAAUUGGGAAAUGGACGAUGGCGUUGUCCGAGUUUAGCUUGCAAUACGUGCCCCAGAAAGUUGUAAAAGGCCAAGCAUUGGCCAAUUUCCUUGCUCACCACCCCUCCCCCUAUGGUUUUGGGGAUACCGAUGUCGAAAUCGGCAUGGUUGAAACACGCGACAACUAUUGGACGAUGUAUUUUGACGGUUCCAGUACUUCAUCCUCGGCCGGUGUUGGGGUUGUCAUUCAAUCUCCUAAUCACGAUCGUUGGUAUUUUUCGCUUAAGUUGGAUUUUGACUGCACCAAUAAUCAGGCUGAAUAUGAAGCCCUUAUCAUUGGCCUUGGCCUCUUUCAUGACUUGCAGGCCAUCCGUGCCCUCGUCCUCGGCGACUCUGAGCUUGUGAUUAACCAACUUAAUGGGUCUUUCCGCUGCAUGAGUUGUACCCUGGCACCCUACCACAUGGUUGCCAGCUAUUUGGCCGAGUCCUUCGACGGUAUUACGUUCAAACAUAUUUCCCGGAUCCAUAAUACCGACGCGGACGAGUUGGCUCAAAUUACCUUUGGUGCACAACUCCUAGGGGGCAAGCUAGGCCGAGAAAUACCGGUGUUACGAUAAUUAUACCCGGCCUUGGUUAACCAGCAAAUCCUCCGGCACGACGAUAUAAUACGCACCUGAGUCAUGUCUUUACCUUCGUUGCUAGACCGACAAGACACUAUAGAGGUUUGUACUGUCGAGGCAACACCAGAUGAUUGGAGAAAACCCAUUAUGCAGUACCUUGACAAUCCCAAUGGAAAACAUAGUCGCAAGACACGAGUUUACGCCACGAACUAUGUCACGUACCAAAACGAGUUAUACCGAAAAGGGGAGGAUGGAUUGCUACUGCUAUGCCUCGGCCCCCAAGAGGGUGCUCGGGCGAUCACAGAAGUCCAUGAAGGGGUUUGCGGAGCUCAUCAAUCCGGAUGAAAAAUACGAUGGCUACUUCGACGACACGGUUAUUUUUGGCCGAGAAUACUAAAGGAUUGUAUCGAGUUUGCACGAGGAUGCGUACAGUGCCAAAUCCACGGGCCUAUACAAAUGGUCCCGGCCGAAUCAUUGCAUUCAGUCAUUAAACCAUGGCCGUUUAGAGGAUGGGCCAUGGACGUAAUCGGUAAAAUCACGCCAUCCUCCGGAGCUGCCAGGCACGCAUGGAUAAUAGUCGCAACCGAUUACUUUACUAAGUGGGUCGAAGCAAAAUCAUACGCCGAGCUAACGUCUAAAGAAGUUUGCGACUUCGUGGAGGAACACAUUGUGACCAAAUUUGGCGUACCAGAAACGAUCAUAACUGACAAUGGAACAAUCUUCACAGUCGAAAGGUUUAAAGAGUAUACGGCAAAUUUAAAAAUUCAGCUCGAACAGUCUACCCCGUAUUAACCACAAGCGAAUGGGCAGGCCGAGGCAAGUAAUAAAGUGUUGAUCGGCAUCCUCGAAAAAAUAAUAAAAGAAAGACCCGGCAUGUGGCAUUUGAAGUUGAACGAGGCAUUAUGGGCAUAUCGAAUAUCGCCCCGAUCGGCGACUGCGACAACCCCGUAUGCAUUAACUUACGGACACGAUUCAAUGUUACCAGUCGAGUUAAGCAUAAAUUCGUUGCGAUUAAUUGAACAAAGUAGUUUGUUUAGCGCCGAAUAUAAUUAGUCCAUGAGACAGGAAUUAGAAGAUUUGGAAGAAGCGCGACUUGACGCUUAUAACUUACUGGUGGCACAAAAACGGAUUGCCGAGCGAGCCUAUAAUCAAAAGGUGCGUCAGAAAACAUUCGGCGAGGGUGAAUUAGUUUGGCAAACGGUGUUACCCGUAGGACUAAAAGACCCUAGGUUCUGCAAGUGGUCGCCAAAUUGGGAGGGGCCGUUCGUUGUGCAUAAAGUAUACGGAAAAGGGACGUAUCAUCUUAAAGACCGGACCGUUGUAGUUCACAGAUUACCAAUCAAUGGGAAGUUUUUGAAGAAAUACUAUCCGGUCACAUGGGAAAUGCGAAAAUAGAAAACCAGUUCAUUCAGAUUGAUAAGCAUGUACAAAAUGGGUAAGUCGGUUUACAUUCAAAUACAUUUAAGGUGAAGAAGGUAGAAGAGUGCCGAGCAGGGCCUUCAGCUCCAACCACCGCACCUCGCCCAUUAUGACCUCGGCCUGCCGAUUCUUCUUGUCCAGCUUCAAUCGCUCGACCCGUUUUGUGUUCGCCGCAUACUCGGUCAAACAAACCUUGCCGCCCGACUCAAAGUCCUUGGCAAGCUCGGAGGCGAUGACCGACCGGCGUUUCGCCAAUUUGGCUAUUUGACGGUCGAGGUCGGCCAAGACUUCUCCUUUAGCCUUUAGGGCGUCAAUCUUCAAACGGAGAGUAUCUUGAACGAUCAUGGCAGCCUGCAGGUCUUGUUCAGCCCUUUGAGCGCUCUAAAAAAUACUGAAAGUUUCUCGAACCCGCUCCAAGGCGUUUAACGCCCGAACGACAGCCUCGCUGCUCAGCUGACCGUCGGCUCCAAGGUCGUUUAGACAUGCACCCAGCACAUCAAGACCUUUGCGCUCAAGGACUUGCGACGCCGAAAGCGACAAGACUUCUUGCAGCAGAGUCAGAGCAGUUGAAUCAGCAGUGUCAGUUGUGGCGGCCGAAGGACCAGACCCUCCGGUGGUGUUGGACAAAAGAGUUUUGAAUUCGACCUCCCACGAAGCCUGCACACACAAAUCAGGUUAAGCUCAAAAGAAGUCAUAAAAAAGAUAGCAAGAAGGUUUCGUUUCUUUUAACCUGCCGAGAGGAGACCUCGGCCAUGUCUCCAGGAUCGUUGCUCGAACCUAAAGAACUCAAUGACCGAGCCCAGUGUCUUAGACUGCUUCUCAGUUCACGCGGCCGAUGGAGGUUAUCUACGUUCGAUGGCCACUGAGAUGGCCAAGAAAUAUAAAUAACGCCUUUCGGCGCAUAGAAGUUUCGAUGAAAAGAGUACGCAGUACGCAGGCGCCUGGCAGGAAAAUAAUCAAGGAAAGGCGAUAGAAGGCACUUACGAAGGCCGAAGUAGCUUCAUGCGAAUGAAUGUUGAGGUCCUGGUCUUGAGGAUGAAUGGGCGUUUCCGUCGUUGCCUAUGGUUCCUCGGCCAGUCGUUUGCCACGGUCGGCCGUGGAAGGGCCGACUGGGACAGCCGCUUCGGACGCAGGAUGGACAUCCUGGUCCUGUGGAGGAGCGGGCUUUUCGGUCGCCGCUACUGGUUCCUCGGCCGGUCGUUUGCCACGGUCGGCCAUGGAAGGGCCGACUGAAACAGCCACCUUAGACCCAGGAAGAGGUUGACGGCGGGGAUGAGGGUGACUCGCCACUGGAACUUCGUCGCUCCCUUCGCUCUCUUCCAGAACGACGAUCGAAGGCUUUGGAGGUGCGGAAGAAGUCUUCUCGGUCGCAGAGACUGCCUUUUCUAGGGCAGGCGUAGCCCCGACCGAUGGAGCUACGACUGGUGCACCGACCUCAGAAACAGGCCGUGCUUUGACUGUUUUUGCGGUCGGAGUUGGCUGUUUCUCGACCUGGCCGACAGUGAGAGAAGGGGAAACACUGGGAGUCGUCGCCUCCGUAGUAUGACUGGAAAUGACGUAGAUCUCCCGUGCUCCUUUCUUUGCCAACUUUUUGACCCGCUUAGCAGGCCGUGGGGGUUCGAUGGUCGGCUCGGCCUCUUGACGAGGCCGUUUGCUCGGCAAGACAGGCCCAGCGGUUUUAGCUUUCUUCGAGGCGACCGAUUGUUUCUCAGCUGCAGCUGCAGCGACCACUUCCACCUUUUUCAAGGACCGGCUACCUGAGGAAGCAAAAGCAAGUCAGCAAAGCAGAUCAGAAAUUCAAAAUUGAAAGAAAAAGGUAGAAAUAAACCAUUACCUUGGGUUUGGGGGGCAGAAGCCUUCUUAGGUCGACCACCGAAGAGUUUGGCGAGAACGGUUUCGACCGGGACACCAAAGAACUGUUGGGUAUAUUCUUCCCACCAGGCACCGAAGGUAUUGGUGCAAAGAGUUUCUAGAGUGGCCGGUCGAAGGUGGAAUUUCUGGCACCGCUCUUGGAACUCCCUUUUCGCGUCGCUGCAUUCAUUCUCGGAAGAACCAUUUUUGCGUCCACGGCUCAGGACGGACUGAGAGGAGAGAAUGGGGACCGGGCAACCUUAGAGGUAGCCAAGCUGCCGAGCGAGGAAGUUUGGGUGAUACACUUCCCAACUCGCUCGGCGGCCCUCACAGCCGAGAGGAAGGUCGCGGGCAAGCACGGAGGACCCCCAGGAUUGACGAAGGUCAGCCUUUUCGUCCACGCCCCAUGCUGAUGUAGAAAGUCUAAUCGACGAAGGGUAUUCUGGAUGACGACAGAUCAAGAAUUCGUCAUCAGAAAGGUCGUCGAGAGCGAAAAAAUAUCUGAACACUUCUUCAGCUUGGUGGGGGGGAUUGGCCGAAGAGCCAGUUGGGGGCCGAGCGCUUCCUUGGGCGAAAAAUCGGCCAUCGUUGGCCGAAGAGGGGCAAAAUAGACCUGCAGCCAGAGUUGGAAAACCCAGAGGGGCCCAUUCUGCUGCGGAUCGACCUUGUCUAGAGUGACUUCGGCCAAGCAGCGUAGGAGAUGUGCGAGAAUGGCCGGGCUAAGUGCCAAAGUGUGACCACUGGCUAAAGCUUCGGCCACUGGCAUAUUCUCGACCAGACACUUAUUAGAUUUGGUACAACAAAUAAAUUUGUUGUACCAAUAGAAGAGGAAAGCCUCGUGCUCCCCUUCUCGCAAAGCCUCUUCUCCUCGGCCGGCAAAAUGGAGGUAGAGGGUGUUGUAGUUGAAAAAGUUCUUGUGAAGCUUGUGGACUUCUUCCUUCGAGGGUGUUUGGCCAUCACCGCUCAGCGUCUCAAGGGCCCUCUUGUCGAAGAGCACCUUCAAAUUAAGGUUCGACGGGUACCUAGGGAGGGCAGCGUCGACUGGGAUUCCAGUUGGGGAAGUCCCCAAGAUGGCAGUGAGGUCGAGGAUGGUGGGGCCAAUGGGGCCAAGAGGGAGAACCAUGGUGUUAGUGGCCGAACACUAGAAACAUGAGGCCGCCAAUAGAAGCUCAUUGUCCAGGAUGAUAUCCAUGGAUGAGAGGCGAAUGGCAUCAUAAAUGCCUAGGGCUUUCCAUUGCUUGCCGAAAAGCCUUUCCAUUCGUACAACCCAGGCUGCCCAGGCUGUAGUGGUCGAGGGCCAGGAGCUUUGAGGCCUCGCCACCUCUCACUUCGACCAUUCAAAUCCUUGCAGCAAGGAUGACAGGCAGUGCUUCUGGAGAAGCCCGGUGAUGGUUGGUGGCACCGCCGCCUUAAAGAGAGGACCCAAGAUUUGGUGAGAGGUACUCAUGUCACUCUCAAAUCGGAUGGUCUUGAUUGAACUCCGAUCGAUGAUUUUUUGGCAUUGGUCACACUCCUUAGAAAGCUUGGAGAUAAAGGAGGCCAUGGUGAAUGGUUUGACAAGAAAAGAAUUUUCUGGGUUUAAAGAUUGAGGGACGAAGACUUGGGAAAAAGAACUGCGCUGGAGAACAAAGGCAAGAAAUUUCAGAGAGAUUUUGAAAGCGUAAAGUAUGAAUGAUGGAUUUCAGUAUUUAUAGGAUUUUGGAAGGAAGGGCAAUCGUUCGAAAUUCAAAAUAAAGGGAAAAUUUGACCAAAGGAAUCACUGAUCAUGAUGAACAUUCAGGAAAUGCAGUUGAGAAGACCGAGAGUCUAAGGUUUUGGGGGCGCACGAUUGCGUGUGAUGGCGAGUUUAAUGGCGAAAGACGUUUUGACGUCUGCACGAUGACAAACGGCUCGCGGAUUGAGGUAGAGUGGCUAUGUUCAGCCAUAAGGUCAUGAUGGCAUGACGGUUCAGGUAGCCGCACGCCUUAGACGUCAUUAUUAGGGAUUGGCCGUGUUAGAAGACGCCACGUGGCGAGUUGGUUAGCAGGAUCAAGAUCGUGCAAUCGUGCUCAAUAAAUGCGCCUUGGAAAUAGAGCACUAGGGUUCUGAGGAUUACAUUCGCUUCUUCAAGGCCGAAACUCGGCCAACGAAUUCAGGCCGAGGACCUCAGAAGCGAGGGGGCAAUGUUUGGGCCCAAAAUAAUAGUUUGGGCCGAGUAUAGAAUCGUUCUCGGCCCGGAAGGCCUUGCGACAAGAAUGUCGUGGAUCAUUCAAUACGUGGGCCUCCAAACCUAGGUCGGCUAGGUCAUAACGUAAGAAGUCGAGUCCUAGUGCAAUGAGGAGUCUCGACAGGACUAAUAACCCGGAAGCGAAUCCGGCUCGGUUAGGGACUAGGUUCACAAUCCUAGUGAAAAUAGGAUUGGUCGAGUUGGUGCUGAUCAGGAGAAGAAGACCUAGUUCGAGUAGGGUUUUAACUCGACCUUGGGGGGAGCCGUUGCUAUAAAUAGAAGAGGCUGUGCAUCAUUCAAGCCCCCUGCAAAUCAAUACAAAACUGCCUUGCGCAAACUCUCAACAACUUGAGAUUUUUUCCUUCUUUUUCAUUGACACGUCUUCCGUUGGCAUCAACAGCACUGUGGAAGCAACCGGUGAUAUCUUAAGUCGACAUAGAUAGCUCUGUCACCGUAGAAUCAGUCGAUCUCGCAGUAUCUUCCGUUGGCAUCAACAGCACUGCGGCGAGAACGGUUGAUUACCUAUCCAAGUCUCAGUCGAGAAGGAUUUCUGAAUCCUUAUUGAUUGAGGUCAUCUCAUUAGCCUUCUCGACGAAGUGAGGUGUUACGGUAUAUCGAGCUCGGCGCUUUGCUCGCCGAGUUAUUUUAUGAUUGGAUAUUCCCAAGUGGGAUUUAGAGUUCGGCAUUUGGACGGCCGAACCACGUUUACCAUCAAGACUUAUAUCUGUUUUGAGUAUUUGUGCCCUUACACUUUGGUGUCGAUUCGGCGAGAGUUUACUCUGACGAAUAACAUCACUGUGACCGAAUCCGACGACGACGAUUCGUGAACUUCGUAAAGAAUAGUAACCUUGUCUUCAGGUUCGAGAACCCAAGAGGCCGAGACGCGUUCCUUCCUCGGUCGCAAUCGCAAGACGUAGAAGUCAGUCGCGCACUCAACGCAACAUCAACAAAUUUACUCCUCGGCCGAGCUCGGCCGACGAGUUGGCACGCCCGCAUUCACCGAAGGACGUAGUUAGCUUAUAGAUUACUCGGCAUGCGCGCCACGUAGGCUUGGUAGUUUAUAGGGUCAACAAAUGCAAAAGGAAAUUUAUCUAUUUUUUAUCUAAGUGAGUUGCAACCUAGGCAGGUGUCUAGGCGGGUCUAGGCGGACUAGGCGGGUGGCUAGGCAGUCUAGGCAGGAGCUCUAGCGCCCUUUCUUAAUUUUCAAACGUUUAGACAUUAAUCAGGACGGUGACCAGCCACUUAGUACCUAAUAGCGGAGGUCUAGACGACGCUAGGCGGGGAUUUUUAGAACAGUGCAUACCGUUUAGGUUCCUCAAAAUCCAAAGCAAGCAAAAUUCACUCCUAAUAUUCUUUUUAGUCACGGCGAAAACUCAAGUAGUUCAUUUCGUUCGGAGUGGUAGGUCAGCAUUCAGAUGAGGGAUGGGUGGCCAACAGGUCCGGCGCGCUUGAGAGUUUUUUACUUAAGAUGUUUUGAUUUUCUCUCUUAAAUACGAAAAAAAGGUGAAAUUAGAAAUUUAAGAUGUCUUUAUUUUUAUAGUAUAUUCGUAAUGUGCGCCAGAAAAGAGAGAGAAACAAAAAUUCCCUAAAAAAUGGAUUUACCUUAUUAGUAGUAAUUACCAAAUAUAUAGCGAUAAAGUAACUCUAUUUAAUGAAUGGAUAAGUCAUACAGAAAAAAUUGCGUUUUCAUACAUGCAUCUAUGUAUGAAUAUUUCCAGACAAACUUCCAUAUAUAAAACCAAAGGUUGGAUAAUAUCAAACAAAAAUUCAUCAAAACAUGUACAUAUAUACCAAAAUAGUCUACAUUAAUUAUUGUAUUUCUUCAUUGCAAAAAUAUUAAAUUUCUUUUCAGGAUAAAAUCUUCCACGAUUGACUAAGGUAAUCCCUUGCAAACUACUAUAAAUAGCAUCGGUGGUUUAGCGUUAAAGCACACCAACUAAAACCCUAAAAAGUCACUAACGCUCUCUUCCCUCCUUUUUCCCUAGUCUCCGUUUCUCUCAAAAUUUCCUCGCUUUGAAAAAAUCAUGGCUGGGAGGAAGAAGGUGAAGCUAGCCUACAUCAUGAACGACGCAAGUCGAAAAACGUCAUACAAUAAAAGGAAGAACGGCUUCAUUAAGAAGAUGCAUGAAAUCAAUAUUCUUUGUGAUGUUCCAGUAUGUGGUAUUAUGUACAGUCCAUAUGAGUCUCAACCUGUUGUCUGGCCCAAUCUUUUGGAAACGCAACGCCUCAUCACCAAGUUUAGGAGCAUGCCCGAGGCAGAGCGGAAUAAGAAGAUGGUGACCCAUGAGAUGUUUUUGAAGCAGAGGAUUGAAAAGGAGCAGGAGAAGCUGAACAAGCUGAAGAAAGAGAACCGGGAGAAGCAAAUUCGGAUGCUCAUGAACCAGUGUCUUACUGGAAGGCCCCUGAUUGGCUUGGACUUAAACGAUUUGAACGAUAUGGAGUGUAUGAUCAAGGAGUGCGUGACAGAGAUUGUCGCACAGAUCAAGAGCCGGAAGGAGGAGAAUCUGGCGGAGAGGAACCAACCCCAAGUUGCACGUACACAAGUGCUAGCACCCUCAACUGAUCAGAACAUGCAUGCAGCAAUGGAAACACAAAUGUUUGAUCUAAACAACAUGGACGCCAUGCAGACGGCUCCAUGGUUCGUAGGGGACGUGUCAAACCAACAUUUCGGCUAUGUUGAUGAUCAGAUCCCGCCCCUUUAAUUUCCCUCCAACUAUUUAAACUAUUUAAGUAGUUUUGUUUCAAACAGUGUUUUAAGUUGUUUCCAAUUUGAUGCAUGAUUACCUUGACAUCAAAACCACAGUGUCUUUAUGUCUUUUAUUUCUUGAAUUUUAUGCAGUCAAAAUUAAUUAUAUAAGAGCCGUUUGUUUUGUAUUCAUAUUCUAUAGGUCCUGCUGGAUAAAAGAUACAUUGAUAUGUUAAUGAGAAAAUCAAAGAAAUAACAACCAAUCAACAAGCAAACAAAAUCAUAGGACUGAUUAAUCAUAAAGGUCCAGGGAGCUCGAUAUUUUCAUAAAUUGAUCUCAUAUUUAUUUAUAAAAAAAAUACAAAUAAUCAUAAAGGUCCAUGGAGUUGGAUGUUUUCAAAAAUAGAUCUCUUAUAUUUAUUUAUAAAAAAUACUUUACGCAAAGAAUAACUUAUAACUUGAAGAGGAAUUCUACUAUUUGACAAAAUAAAAAAAAAA
rnacentral:lncRNA from 1 species